GAAAUGCGAUAAGUAGUGUGAAUUGCAGAAUUCAGUGAAUCAUCGAAUCUUUGAACGCACAUUGCGCCCUUUGGUAUUCCUUAGGGCAUGCCUGUUCGAGCGUCAUCUAAACCUUCAAGCCCUGCUUGGUGUUGGGUGCCUGUCCCGCCUCCGCGCGCGGACUCACCUCAAAUCCAUUGGCGGCCCCCGCGUCGGCCACGAGCGCAGCAGAAACGCGAACUCGUGAGCACGUCCGGGCGGCUCCCAGAAGCUACACCCACCCAGUUUGACCUCGGAUCAGGUAGGGAUACCCGCUGAACUUAAGC
rnacentral:misc_RNA from 1 species